rnacentral:rRNA from 1 species
GCGAGUGAAGAGGGAAAAGCUCAAAUUUUAAAUCUGUUAGGUUUGCCUAACCGAGUUGUAAUUUGAAGAAGCGUUUUCUGCGAUUUUGGUUAGUCCAAAUCCUUUGGAAUAAGGUAUCAUGGAGGGUGAGAAUCCCGUUCGGUUAACCAAAGCGCUUUACGAUACGCUUUCAAAGAGUCAGGUUGUUUGGGAUUGCAGCUUAAAAUGGGAGGUAAAUUUCUCCUAAGGCUAAAUAUUGGCGAGAGACCGAUAGCGAACAAGUACCGUGAGGGAAAGAUGAAAAGAACUUUGAAAAGAGAGUUAAACAGUACGUGAAAUUGUUGAAAGGGAAACGAUUAAAGUCAGUCGUACCUACGAGUAAUCAACCUACUCGAGUGCGAUUUUGUGGGUAUGUUGGAGCUUAAAAACCUUCAUGCUUACAAAUUGGUGCUCUUUGGGCGUACUUUCUCGUAUGGUAGGUUAACAUCAAUUUCGAUCGUUAUAAAAUGACUGGAGGAAUGUAGCUUCGAUUUCGGUUGAAGUGUUAUAGCCUUUGGUAGAUGUAAUGAUUGGGAUUGAGGAUUGCAACGGAUACCCUCUGGGCUAUUCGUCUGAUCUCUGGAAGUUACCUUGGUGUCGAAAGCGUGCUUACGAUAUUAAGGUUGACGGCCAAUAGGUUAGAACGUGAUUAAAUUCGUUAAGGAUGU